rnacentral:rRNA from 1 species
CAAUAGCGUAUAUUUAAGUUGUUGCAGUUAAAAAGCUCGUAGUCGGAUUUUGGCUGAGAACGAACGGUCCGCCGUUAGGUGUGCACUGUUUGGUCUCAGCUUCCUGGUGAGGAGGUGUGCUUCACGGCCACUUAGUCACCGUGGUUACUUUGAAAAAAUUAGAGUGUUCAAAGCGGGCUUACGCUUGAAUAUAUUAGCAUGGAAUAACACCAUAGGACUCCUGUCCUAUUUCGUUGGUCUCGGGACGGGAGUAAUGAUUAAGAGGAACAGUCGGGGGCAUUCGUAUUUCAUUGUCAGAGGUGAAAUUCUUGGAUUUAUGAAAGACGAACUACUGCGAAAGCAUUUGCCAAGGAUGUUUUCAUUAA